rnacentral:rRNA from 1 species
CACGUAGGGGCAAGCGUUGUCCGGAUUUAUUGGGCGUUAAAGAGCUCGGUAGGCGGUUCGGUAAGUCGGGUGUGAAACCUCCAGGCUCAACCUGGAGACGCCACCCGAUACUGCUUGUGACUAGAGUCCGGUAGGGGAGCGUGGAAGUUCCUGGUGUAGCGGUGAAAUACGCAGAUAUCAGGAGGAACACCGAGUGGCGAAGGCAGGUCUCUGGGCCAUUACUGACACUGAGAAGCGAAAGCAUGGGGAGCGAACAGG